rnacentral:rRNA from 1 species
AUUGAACGCUGGCGGCAUGCUUUACACAUGCAAGUCGAACGGUAACAGGCCGCAAGGUGCUGACGAGUGGCGAACGGGUGAGUAAUGCAUCGGAACGUGCCCAGUCGUGGGGGAUAACGCAGCGAAAGCUGCGCUAAUACCGCAUACGACCUAUGGAUGAAAGCGGGGGACCGUAAGGCCUCGCGCGAUUGGAGCGGCCGAUGUCAGAUUAGGUAGGUGGUGGGGUAAAGGCUCACCAGGCCAACGAUCUGUAGCUGGUCUGAGAGGACGACCAGCCACACUGGGACUGAGACACGGCCCAGACUCCUACGGGAGGCAGCAGUGGGGAAUUUUGGACAAUGGGCGCAAGCCUGAUCCAGCAAUGCCGCGUGCAGGAAGAAGGCCUUCGGGUUGUAAACUGCUUUUGUACGGAACGAAACGGUCCUGGUUAAUACCCGGGGCUAAUGACGGUACCGUAAGAAUAAGCACCGGCUAACUACGUGCCAGCCGCCGCUGUAAGAC